GUAACAGAGGGAUUGAGGGCCCUGCUCAGUGAGUUUACAUGUUAGAGGGAGUGGGGUAUAGUGACACAGUAACAGAGGGAUUGAGGGCCUGCUCAGUGAGUUUACAUGUUAGAGGGAGUGGGGUAUAGUGACACAGUAACAGAGGGACUGAGGGCCCUGCUCAGUGAGUUUACAUGUUAGAGGGAGUGGGGUAUAGUGACACAGUAACAGAGGGAUUGAGGGCCCUGCUCAGUGAGUUUACAUGCUAGAGGGAGUGGGGUAUAGUGACACAGUAACAGAGGGAUUGAGGGCCCUGCUCAGUGAGUUUACAUGUUAGAGGGAGUGGGGUAUAGUGACACAGUAACAGAGGGAUUGAGGUCCUGCUCAGUGAGUUUACAUGUUAGAGGGAGUGGGGUAUAGUGACACAGUAACAGAGGGAUUGAGGCCCUGCUCAGUGAGUUUACAUGUUAGAGGGAGUGGGGUAU